rnacentral:lncRNA from 1 species
UUUCAUAGCAGCUGGUAAAGUGAGCUAUUGCUUAUGAAAGCUUAUGCUUCUCUGAUUCACUUAGUCUAGAAGGUGCACCUCUACCCAACCUUUUGCCUGACUUCACACUAACACAGCUAAUGACCUUUCUGAACCUGAACAUUUAUCUGUUGUGUUGAAUUAAGGAGGAAUACAGUGGUGAAACACCCGACAGCCUUGUUUGAGGAGCUGCCAGCAGGGGAUUCUCUGGGCUGCAGUUUGAUGAGCAAGAUGUAGUUGGAGGUAGUAUGAACUUCACUGCUUAGGAACAUGGAAGUACAGCUUAGAGCCAGGAACACUGCUCAAAUUUGCCAAUGGGUCACAGUCCCAACCUGUGAGAUCACGUAAUAAUAGUCUUGAAAUUCACAUCCAGUGUCCUAGUAAACAAGAACACCGGCCAUAUCCUCUUUAAUCAUUCCUCUGUUCAGGACAAUCAUAACCAAGGCUGCCCAAAAUUGUUCCAGGAAAGUUCCAACAAAUUCUUGCUUUUUUCGGCCAUCGGUUUUCCUUCAUAUUAAACAGCUGAUUUUACUUUUUGAGAAAUACAGCCUUGGUUUGCUAAAUCAGGGGUUUUAAAGAUAUGACCUACAGAACUGUUUCCCUCCGCCUUCAGGGCUCCUGGUGGGGCAGGGCACACUGCUGAAUUCCUGUGGACAGAGCUCCAUUGAGGAUGUCAGCUGUGGAAGGGAAGCAACACCUAUGUCAUCUCCCAUACCAUUGCCAUUCAUCCUUCCGCUGGGGCCAGUCAAGUUUAACACAACUGUAUUCAAUCAAUAUUUGGAGAGAAGCUUAUUUCUUCUUUGUCAGAAGAACAAAUUCUUUGUCAGAAGAACAUUACAAACAAUAUUCAAUAGCCAGUGAACUGAUUGGAUAAAAUGGCCCAACUACCCAGUGCUCCAUCAAGAUACAAUAAUAGCAUCAGAAGAACGAGUUAUUACAAAGCUCUGCCACUCCUUUCUAACAAUGCAGUUCAUACUAGUUCCCUUUCCAAAUUAAUUGUCAAGACAAUUAUGAAGUACAGACCCUUCCUCCAUUUGUGCGAUUAUCAUUCGUGGCAUGAAAAGAAAGCAUGGUAAAUGAUAUGUGAGAAAUUCUCUUGGCAUAAUCACCAGCUGUGGACAAAGUGAUGAUAGG